CCUACGGGAGACAGCAGUGAGGAAUAUUGGUCAAUGGACGAGAGUCUGAACCAGCCAAGUAGCGUGAAGGAUGACUGCCCUAUGGGUUGUAAACUUCUUUUAUAUGGGAAUAAAAUGUUCCACGUGUGGGAUUUUGUAUGUACCAUAUGAAUAAGGAUCGGCUAACUCCGUGCCAGCAGCCGCGGUAAUACGGAGGAUCCGAGCGUUAUCCGGAUUUAUUGGGUUUAAAGGGAGCGUAGGUGGUUUGUUAAGUCAGUUGUGAAAGUUUGCGGCUCAACCGUAAAAUUGCAGUUGAAACUGGCAGUCUUGAGUACAGUAGAGGUGGGCGGAAUUCGUGGUGUAGCGGUGAAAUGCUUAGAUAUCACGAAGAACUCCGAUUGCGAAGGCAGUUCACUGGACUGCAACUGACACUGAGGCUCGAAAGUGUGGGUAUCAAACAGGAUUAGAUACCCCAGUAGUC
rnacentral:rRNA from 1 species